rnacentral:hammerhead_ribozyme from 1 species
AUCCAUCUGACGAGUCCCAAAUAGGAUGAAACGUGCGUCCUGAAU